AGCCUUAAGGAAUCAUGUAAGGUAAAGCCUGCCCAGUGUAAUUUUUAUAAAUGGCCGCAGUACCUUGACUGUGCGAAGGUAGCGUAAUCAGUUGGCUUUUAAAUGGAGUCUUGUAUGAAAGGAAUAACGUGGUACUACUGUCUCUACUUUAUUAUAUUGAAUUUUAUUAGGGGGUGAAAAUUCCUUCAAAGUGAAAAAAGACGAGAAGACCCUUAGAGUUUUGAUUAAAACUUAUAUUUUAUAAAUUUAAUUUUUGUUGGGGCGACAAGGAAACAAUUAUAACUUUCCUUUUCUACUAGACGGUUUUUUCAAGAAAGAUAAAACUACCUGAGGGAUAACAGCAUAAUUCUUUUAAGAGUUUGUGACCUCGAUGUUGGACUAGGGACUUCAUAAACUAGCUGUUUAUUUUUGUGGCUCUGUUCGAGCUUAUACCCCU
rnacentral:rRNA from 1 species